rnacentral:rRNA from 1 species
UGAGGAAUUUUGGGCAAUGGGGGCAACCCUGACCCAGCGACGCCGCGUGCAGGAUGACGGCCCUUCGGGUUGUAAACUGCUUUCGGGUGAGAAGAAAAGCCGAUUAUAUCGGCUGGGACUGUACCACCAGAAGAAGCACCGGCUAACUACGUGCCAGCAGCCGCGGUAAUACGUAGGGUGCAAGCGUUAUCCGGAAUCACUGGGUGUAAAGGGUGUGUAGGCGGAUUUGUGCGUCAGAGGUUAAAUAUCCAGGCUCAACUUGGAAAAUGCCUUUGAUACGGCAAGUCUUGAGUAUAAGAGAGGAAGAUGGAAUUCCUGGUGUAGAAGUGAAAUUCGUAGAUAUCAGGAGGAACACCGGUGGCGAAGGCGGUCUUCUGGCUUAUUACUGACGCUGAGGCACGAAAGCGUGGGGAUCAAACAGG